rnacentral:rRNA from 1 species
UACGGAGGGGGCUAGCGUUGUUCGGAAUUACUGGGCGUAAAGCGGGUGUAGGCGGAUUGCUAAGUCGGGGGUGAAAGCCCAGGGCUCAACCCUGGAAUUGCCUUCGAUACUGGCAGUCUCGAGUACAGGAGAGGUGAGCGGAAUUCCGAGUGUAGAGGUGAAAUUCGUAGAUAUUCGGAGGAACACCAGAGGCGAAGGCGGCUCACUGGACUGUCCCUGACGCUGAGACCAGAAAGCGUGGGGAGCAAACAGG